rnacentral:sRNA from 1 species
GUAGCCGUGGCAGCGGCCGUGGCAGGCUGGCUGGGUACCGGCUGCCGCUGACCCGGGAGACGCUACAUCAACCGGGGUUGCAGCGCCCUGCCGCCGCGGGGCCGGCAGCUGAACUAUGUGCUCUUCAGGGCGGGCACCGUGUUGCAUUCAUCUUUGUACCCCCAGCAUCUAGCAGUGUUGGCAUGUAGUAGGCACUCAAGAAAUGUGUGUUGAAUGAACGAUGCCUGUGACAAGCAAGCGGACUUUAUUCUUUCCUGACCCUUGCUCCUAUGACACACCUCCUCCUGACUGCCACUGUCACUCCUUCAGAGCAGAACUCCUCUAGGGAACCUGGAUGGGAAACAGCCAUGGCCAAGGACAUCCUGGGUGAAGCAGGGCUGCACUUUGAUGAACUGAACAAGCUGAGGGUGUUGGACCCAGAGGUUACCCAGCAGACCAUAGAGCUGAAGGAAGAGUGCAAAGACUUUGUGGACAAAAUUGGCCAGUUUCAGAAAAUAGUUGGUGGUUUAAUUGAGCUUGUUGAUCAACUUGCAAAAGAAGCAGAAAAUGAAAAGAUGAAGGUAAGAUGAGCAUGUCUUUUGCCUACAUCUUGGCCUGGGACCCUAGUUCACUACCCUCUCAUCCUUCUUCCCUCUUGAUUUGUUUAGAGGGGUAGAGGGGUGGGUGGGUGAAUUUUUAUUUAAGAUUUUAAUAACUUCUGGUCCACUUAACCUACUGAACUUAUGCCAGUCUUUAUUUCCUUUAAUCUUUUUUUUUUUUGAGACAGAGUCUUGCUCUGUCACCCAGGCUGGAGUGCAGUGGUGC